GAAUGUGCCUUUUCCUUAUCAAAAAGAAUUGCUGCCCCUUACAGGACAGGAGGACUCCAAUUGUGACCAAGUUGGAGCAGCCUUGAGCCACAACUCAGACUUAUUUUCAUUCUCUGCUCAUUGGCCAUUAGGAACCCGAUCCUUAUGGUAUGUUCACACUGUCUCCAGGCUGGGCACAGUGGCUCACACUUGUAAUCCCAGCACUCUGGAGGCCAAGGUGGGUGGACGGCUUGAACUCAGAGUUUGAGACCACCGUGAGCAACAUGACAAAACGCUAUCUCUACAAACAAUAUAAAAAUUAGCCUGGUGUGGUGGUGCACGCCUGUGGUCCCAGCUACUAGGGGCUGAUGUGGGAGGAUUGCUUGAGCCUGGAAAGUGGAGGUUGCAGUGAGCUGAGAUUGCACCACUGCACUCCAGCCUGGGUGACACAAGGAGACGCUGUCUCAACCUGCAGUGACCUGCUGCUACCAGAACUGACUCGCUUCAAAGUGACGGAUGAAACCCAUAUGGAGAUAUUCCUGGGGUGGGUAGGCCAGUUGGAAGACAGAGUGUUUACACCUGAGAGAGGACUUGAGAAUUUUACUCAGUCACGUUGCUCACUGCUGCGCACUCCUGCAGACGCAUCCCAGUGGACUCUGCGCUGCAUCCCCAGAGUACAGCGAGUUUCCCGCCUCCCGUUAGAGAUCCAACACAUAUUUUUUUUGAAAGAAGAAACUGAUGGAAGACAGGAAGCAAAAAGGAGAGGAAGGAAAGGGAUAGGAAGGAGGGGAAGGAAAGGGAAAGGAAGGAAAAGAAAGGAAAGUGAACUUGAAAUCCUACAAGGUCUCAAAGUCAAAAAACAUGAUUGCUGUUUUAGAGAAUUGAAGAUCCUUCAUCUUCAAGAAUCUGAAAUCUACCAUGAUCUUCACAUGUAGCCAAACACAAUGGGAUGUAGUCAUUUAAGAGUGCUGUGAAGGCAGUGAAAAGCAGUUGAAAUACCAUUAGUUAACAGAUUGCCCAAUGAAGUCGAUGACAACUGUGAUAACAAGUUACUCACUAUCACAGCGUCUCCAAGAGAUGAACAGUGGAUGAUGCUUCCAAAGCACAGAUGUCCCUCUCCUCCUCAACCUUCUCUCCCCAGAAAGAUGUCAACACUGUGGAGAUUGUGCUAUGAAGAUACCUGCACCCAGUUCCGGAUUUCACACCAAGCCUUUGCUGAGGAUAUGAGAGUAAUAAAAAGGGGAGCCCUGGUUCUUCCUCUCCUUUAGUGUCUUUCCUGGAAGUGGACUGCGAGAAGAGCUUCUUCAGCCACCUUCUGCCUGCAGACAACCUCCAUGAGUUUGCUUUAGAAGAAGGCUUCAAUUUGAAGAAAGUCAAAUAAAACAAGGUCAUUGUGUUUGCAAUUGAUCCUUGGAGACAGCGACAUCUGCGAAGCUUCCAAGCCACGGUGGUUCCACCUUCACAAGUAUCCUUCAAAGGCAUCCUGCAACCACCCCAUCCAUCCAAGUACUCCGUUGUAGGAUUCAAAAGCAAAUUGCAGGGUUUGCUGCCUGGCAGAGAAGCAUAGACACAAAGCAUGAGAGAGCAAAACCUAUGAGUUGACCAUAUCAUAAACACAAAUAGAUAUAUGCAGAAUACCAGCUAAAAAAUAGGCAAUAAACUUAAACAAUAGGACUAUGAGUAGACAUAGCAAGUGCUGGGUAGAGAUGACAGUUUUGUGUCCUGUUAGAGCUAAGUCAGAAAUCUGGGUCGAAGUGAAUGUGAGGGAGGAAAAGGCCAUUACAAUAUUUAAGAAGCAGCUCCAAUAUUUUUAAAACGUGAAGGAAAACUUGCAAGCAAUCUCUAGGGCUGGAGGGAGAGAAAUGCAAAGCCCUCUCAGCCUGCUCCACCAUUAUCUUUUGCAUUCCAAUAACUGACAUGCUGCUGAAUGUUAUGACUAUUUGUUUAUUGUUGACUGUUCUUGGCACUGCUCAGUGUAGCCAAAGAUUCCUUGCCUACAAGAAAGUCUUGCUCAGACAAUAAACCACGGAGAAAGAAAAUUGUCCUUGAGAAUAAGGGCAUUUCAGAGGGAAAGGAAUUCCACCAGAGGCAAAGAAACCCCCGUCCACCGCAGAAUUCGAGCUCAAUAUCUCCUAUGUCUAUCUGUGAAAGCCAUCAUGGAACUCAAGGGCAGGAGGGGGUGGUACACAAUGGUUUGUAUUGUAAUCCCCUGUUUUCAGACACAUUUUUCUGAAAGCAUAAACUUUGCUGGCUAGGACUGUAUAAACCUAGCGGGAUUUUUUACUUUUUCUUGGAAGGCAUUUGUCUCCCAGCAUCAUAAAACUUAACAGUCUGCUUUCAUAGUAACAG
ensembl:lncRNA LINC01020 long intergenic non-protein coding RNA 1020